rnacentral:rRNA from 1 species
GACGAACGCUGGCGGCGUGCUUAACACAUGCAAGUCGAACGGGCCUGUCUUCUUUUUUGGGGGUGGGUUGAGUGGCGAACGGGUGAGUAUCACGUGAGUAACCUGCCCUUCGGUCCUGGAUAACCGCUUGAAAGGGCGGCUAAUACGGGGUGGUCCGGUUGGUCCGCAUGGGCUGGUCGGGAUAGAUUCACUGUUUUUGGUGUUUCGGCGGGGGAUGGGCUCGCGGCCUAUCAGCUUGUUGGUGGGGUGAUGGCCUACCAAGGCGGUGACGGGUAGCCGGACUGAGAGGGUGGGCGGCCACACGGGGACUGAGAUACGGCCCAGACUCCUGCGGGAGGCAGCAGUGGGGGGUAUUGCACAAUGGGCGGAAGCCUGAUGCAGCGACGUCGCGUGAGGGAUGGAGGCCUUCGGGUUGUGAACCUCUGUUUCCGGUGGUGAAGGCCCUGUCCGUGUGGUGGGGUUGACGGUAGCCGGGGAUGAAGCGCCGGCUAACUACGUG